AUGAUAUUGAUAGAUUUAUUAAUUUUGAUAAACAACAGAUGUUGGAUAAAGAUCCAACCAUUUUUGAUAAACGUACAUCCCUUCGGGUGAAAAAAAAUUGCAAUAAAUACAUCGUGCAUUUUCUGAGCCGUGUAAAGACCUUGGAUUCUCUACUGUGAAACAAUGAAGAUCUCAGUGUGCUUGCUUUGUUUAACGAUGUUCUUUCUCAUCAUCCAAGACAGUGUGGAAGGAUCACUAUCCAGUAAGGAGAAACCUCAUAUAUCCCCCAGCCAGAGGUUCUUUUGUGUCACCUGUUCUCUAGCAAACAACCCCUCCGCAGAAUGGUUGAAGCGCUGCAGGAAGUUACUCUGUAAGCUUUGAACGUGGCGAUUGCUGAGAGUACUGAACACUUGACAAUAAAGAUCCGAAACCUGAACCAAAGAAUUCACUUUUCUCUGUGAAGAAGUGUAUUGCGAUGUAGAUACAUGUAAAUCCAAAUAAAAAUUGAUAAAUGAA